rnacentral:rRNA from 1 species
AACGUACGCUGGCGGCACGCCUAACACAUGCAAGUCGAACGAAGUAGCAAUACUUAGUGGCAGACGGGUGAGUAACAUGUAGGUAUCUGCCCUUUGGCCUGGAAUAACACGAGGAAACUUGUGCUAAUACCGGAUAAGUCUUUACGGAGAAAGCUUUAUGCACCAUUGGAUGAGCCUGCACUUGAUUAGUUUGUUGGUGGGGUAAUGGCCUACCAAGACUGUGAUCAAUAGCUGAUUUGAGAGGAUGAUCAGCCACAUUGGGACUGAGACACGGCCCAAACUCCUACGGGAGGCAGCAGUGGGGAAUCUUGCACAAUGGAGGAAACUCUGAUGCAGCGAUGCCGCGUGAGUGAAGAAGGCCUUUGGGUUGUAAAGCUCUUUCGUCGGGGAAGAAAAUGACUGUACCCGAAUAAGAAGGUCCGGCUAACUUCGUGCCAGCAGCCGCGGUAAUACGAAGGGACCUAGCGUAGUUCGGAAUUACUGGGCUUAAAGAGUUCGUAGGUGGUUGAAAAAGUUGGUGGUGAAAUCCCAGAGCUUAACUCUGGAACUGCCAUCAAAACUUUUCAGCUAGAGUUUGAUAGAGGAAAGCAGAAUUUCUAGUGUAGAGGUGAAAUUCGUAGAUAUUAGAAAGAAUACCAAUUGCGAAGGCAGCUUUCUGGAUCAUUACUGACACUGAGGAACGAAAGCAUGGGUAGCGAAGAGGAUUAGAUACCCUCGUAGUCCAUGCCGUAAACGAUGUGUGUUAGACGUUGGAAAUUUAUUUUCAGUGUCGCAGCGAAAGCGAUAAACACACCGCCUGGGGAGUACGACCGCAAGGUUA